rnacentral:rRNA from 1 species
UACGUAGGGUGCAAGCGUUGUCCGGAAUUAUUGGGCGUAAAGAGCUUGUAGGCGGUUUGUCGCGUCUGCUGUGAAAUUUCGGGGCUCAACCCCGAACUUGCAGUGGGUACGGGCAGACUAGAGUGUGGUAGGGGAGACUGGAAUUCCUGGUGUAGCGGUGAAAUGCGCAGAUAUCAGGAGGAACACCGAUGGCGAAGGCAGGUCUCUGGGCCAUAACUAACGCUGAGAAGCGAAAGCGUGGGGAGCAAACAGG